rnacentral:rRNA from 1 species
UACGUAGGGUGCGAGCGUUGUCCGGAAUUAUUGGGCGUAAAGAGCUUGUAGGCGGUUUGUCGCGUCUGCUGUGAAAAUCCGGGGCUCAACCCCGGACUUGCAGUGGGUACGGGCAGACUAGAGUGAUGUAGGGGAGACUGGAAUUCCUGGUGUAGCGGUGAAAUGCGCAGAUAUCAGGAGGAACACCGGUGGCGAAGGCGGGUCUCUGGGCAGUAACUGACGCUGAGGAGCGAAAGCGUGGGGAGCGAACAGG